CGAUGAGCUUUCCCACCAGUAUAAUCAGCCCUGGAGCUCCUCAGGGUAAUGUUCUCUCCCCACUGCUCUUCUCCCUCUACACGAGCUACUGCACUUCAAAGGACCCCUCUGUCAAACUCCUAAAGUUUGCAGACGACACCACACUUAUCGACCUCAUUCAGGACAGUGACGAGUCUGCUUACAGACAGGAGGUAAAA